AUACAGAGGGUGCGAGCGUUAAUCGGAAUUACUGGGCGUAAAGCGCGCGUAGGCGGCUGAUUAAGUCAGAUGUGAAAUCCCAGGGCUCAACCUUGGAACUGCAUCUGAUACUGGUCAGCUAGAGUUUUGGAGAGGGAAGUAGAAUUUCAGGUGUAGCGGUGAAAUGCAUAGAGAUCUGAAGGAAUACCAGUGGCGAAGGCGACUUCCUGGCCAAAAACUGACGCUGAGGUGCGAAAGCGUGGGUAGCAAACGGGAUUAGAAACCCCAGUAGUCC
rnacentral:rRNA from 1 species